rnacentral:rRNA from 1 species
CGCGUAUAGAAUCUGCCUUGUACAGGAGGAUAGCCUUUAGAAAUGAAGAUUAAUACUCCAUAAUAUUGAGAAGCGGCAUCGCUUUUUAAUUAAACAUUUAUGGGUACAAGAUGACUAUGCGUCCUAUUAGCUAGAUGGUAAGGUAACGGCUUACCAUGGCAACGAUAGGUAGGGGGUCUGAGAGGAUUUAACCCCCACACUGGUACUGAGACACGGACCAGACUCCUACGGGAGGGCAGCAGUGGGGAAGUAAUUGCACAAAUGGGCGCAAGCCUGAUGCAGCAACGCCGCGUGAGGGAC